GUGGUCAAAGGUGGUCAAAGCUGGUCAAACGCAGUCAACUGUUGGUCAACGCAGUCAACUCAGUCAACACGACGCUCGAGGCUGGGGAGGUGCAACCUUAGAGGCUGGGGUACAAUACAUGCGACAGUUGCAUUUCUAAGACAAGGCACGGUUGGAAUAGGAGAACCACGUGGAGUCGAGUACUUAGUGGGCGUUCGUUUCCUAGAAGUCUUAGCUUAUUUUGCUUCCGCUGUGCAACGAAGAUACCAGUCCAGUCACGCCAGCUCUGAUAAUUUC
rnacentral:lncRNA from 1 species